UACGAAGGGGGCUAGCGUUGCUCGGAAUCACUGGGCGUAAAGCGCACGUAGGCGGCUUUUUAAGUCAGGGGUGAAAUCCUGGAGCUCAACUCCAGAACUGCCUUUGAUACUGAGAAGCUUGAGUCCGGGAGAGGUGAGUGGAACUGCGAGUGUAGAGGUGAAAUUCGUAGAUAUUCGCAAGAACACCAGUGGCGAAGGCGGCAUCCUGGACCGGCAUUGACGCUGAGGCGCGAAAGCUAGGGGAGCAAACGGG
rnacentral:rRNA from 1 species